GUAAGACGUUGGAAAACAUUUAUUAUUGAAAGAGCAAUAAUAGGCGAUUUGUUCACCAGAAAAAAUGCAAUCUUUCGCAUUAUCCAUGACUAUAAUUCUGCUCGUCUUGCUAAACAUUAUAGUUAACAUCGAGGCACAGAUCACUUACCGCUAUCAUUGGUGCUCAAACACAUCCACUUUCACCAAAAGUAGCAUCUACCGGUCCAAUCUAGAGCAACUCCUCUCUUCUCUUUCCUCAAACGCAAUCCGCAGCAAUGGCUUCUAUAGCGCUUCUAUUGGGCAGGACCCCAAUCACGUCUAUGGCCUCUUUCUUUGCCGAGGUGAUUUAAGCUCUGACGUCUGUCAAAAUUGUGUGACUCUUGCAGUUCAAGAAAUCAUUCAACUUUGUCCCACCAACAAAGUGGCGGUAGUAUGGUACGACGAAUGUUUCCUACGUUACUCAAACCAGUCCAUCUUCUCUAUUCUGGCNACCUAUUAUAUUCAUGUGGAAUUCGCAGAAUACAACAGAUCGUUUAUACAAUGAUAGCCGA
rnacentral:misc_RNA from 1 species